rnacentral:rRNA from 1 species
GACGAACGCUGGCGGCGUGCUUAACACAUGCAAGUCGAACGGAAAGGCCCUCCUUCUGUGGGGUGCUCGAGUGGCGAACGGGUGAGUAACACGUGUGUAACCUGCCCUUUACUUCGGGAUAACGUCAGGAAACUGGGGCUAAUACCGGAUAGGAGCUCCUGCUGCACGGUGGGGGUUGGAAAGUUUCGGCGGUUGGGGAUGGACUCGCGGCUUAUCUGCUUGUUGGUGGGGUAGUGGCUUACCUAGGCGUUGACGGGUAGCCGGCCUGAAAGGCUGACCGGCGACAUUGGGACUGAGAUACGGCCAGGAAGCCGAGGGGAGGCAGCAGUGAGGGAUGGUGCACAAUGGGCGGAAGGCUGAGGGAGCGACGCCGCGUGCGGGAUGGCGGCCUUCGGGUGAUAAACCGCUUGCGACUGUGACGGAGCGUGGGUGACGGUAGUGGGUAAAGAAGCACCGGCUAACUACGUG